GACGAACGCUGGCGGCGUGCUUAACACAUGCAAGUCGAACGGAAAGGCCUUUUCGGAGGUACUCGAGUGGCGAACGGGUGAGUAACACGUGGGUGAUCUGCCCUGCACUCUGGGAUAAGCCUGGGAAACUGGGUCUAAUACCGGAUAGGACCGCACUUUAGUGUGUGUGGUGGCAAGUUUUUUCGGUGUAGGAUGAGCCCGCGGCCUAUCAGCUUGUUGGUGGGGUAAUGGCCUACCAAGGCGGCGACGGGUAGCCGGACUGAGAGGUUGGUCGGCCACAUUGGGACUGAGAUACGGCCCAGACGCCUACGGGAGGCAGCAGUGGGGAAUAUUGCACAAUGGGCGCAAGCCUGAUGCAGCGACGCCGCGUGGGGGAUGACGGCCUUCGGGUUGUAAACUCCUUUCGCCAGGGACGAAGCGUUUUGUGACGGUACCUGGAGAAGAAGCACCGGCUAACUACGUG
rnacentral:rRNA from 1 species